GACGAACGCUUGCGGCGUGCCUAAGAAAUGCAAGUCGAACGGAAUCAGUAGCAAUACUGGUUUAGUGGCGAACGGUCGCGUAACACGUAAGCAACCUGCCUUGAAGUUGGGGAUAACAGUCCGAAAGGACUGCUAAUACCGGAUGUGGUCCACGAGUGGCAUCAUUUGUGGUCUAAAGAUUUAUCGCUUCAAGAUGGGCU
rnacentral:rRNA from 1 species